AGUUCCCGUCUAAGUUUUCCUUCAAAAGUGUGAAUCACUUUCAAGGUCUAGGGUUAUUAGGACUUAGAAUCUCUGAUUUAAAAAGUGAAGUUUAAUCUUCAAUCAAGUGCAGGGAAAGGGAGUGAGGUUGGCAGUCUUCUCCGUAGAACCUGCUUGUGACCAAUAUUUACUACGGCAACGCUCUGUUCUUAGAAACUUCUAUGAUGACGUUUGGGUGGGGUGGCCACAUCACAAGGCUUUGGGGUGACUGACAUCCAUGGACUGAGAAGCACGGUUAUCUCAUGGUGACGCACGCCUAUGAAGUGUGCCAUUACUUUGGGGAUUUUUAGCUUGUAGAAUAUUUUUCUUGUAGAUGAAGCAUCAGACACAUUUUUGUUCGAAAGAAGAGAAACAGUGAAAGUUGUGUCUGCUGCGAGGUCUGAGGGCCCCGGUAGCCCCAGGCCUCUGAGCUGGGGACUCAUUUAUCCCUGAGCAUCUCACGGGUGCCAUGAGUCCUGCUUUUUGGUCUGUGCCAGGGUCUUCUGGUAUCUGUGGCACGAAAGGCGUCCUUCCUUGGACCCAGGAAUCAGUCAGUUUGAACGAGGUUUGCUUAUGGCCCCAGGCUGCAGAAAAGGCCUGAAGAAAAUGACUAGGGCAGCCCUAGCAGAGCUCUGAGGCUGGAUCUGCACGCCAAGCAGUCGGGAACCCAGCUGGGGAUGUGGAAAAGGUGCGGUGCGUGACUAGAGCCAGGCCCGUUCCCUGGGUGCCGAGCCAGGCUGUGCUCACUCUGAGCCCACAAACGCCAUGUUCUGUGCUGCAGAAGCAGAGACCGCAUGUCAUAGAUGCUCUGAGGGUCCAGUCCCGGGGCCCUUGGGUAACUUCCAUGACUCCCUCCCCACCUGGGGCCUGGGUCUUGGGAUAGGUUCCUUCUACUGUGUAACAGAUUACCCCAAACAUCAGGCAGCUAAAAACAAAAAUCUCAUGCUUGCUGUGGGCAGAAUUCACUUCCGAGGCCUUGUGUCAUUCCAUGACACAAGGCACUGGACUCCACCACAGUGAGCAGAUCUCAGGGCAAGUGUACUCAUUAGCCUUCCUGUCACUGGGCAUAUGUACCAGAUACCCACAAAUUAAGGGAGGAGAGGUUCUCUUGGCUCACGGUUUCUGAGGGUUCAGUCCAGGGUAAUCUGGCUCCAAGCCGAAAGGACCUGGUGGAGGAAAGCUGGUCACUGCAGAGAGAGAGGGAGGAGCCAGGGACAGAACACAGCCUUCCAGGUCACACCCCAGUGACCACCUCCAAACAGGUCCCGUCUCCUAACAGCAGAGUCAGCCACGAGCUCAUCCCAGGGUGAAUCCACUGAUACGUAUACUCCCUCUGUGAUCCAAUCACUUUCCCCAAACCCCACCUCGGAACACAUGAGACCUUUGUGGGACAUAUUUUAUCCAAACCAUAACAGUGAGCAGGACAGAAGCCUCAUGACUUGUAAUGACAAGACUCUCCUUGCCCUCAAGGCCUUGACCUUGGGCUCUGUCUUUGGCCUGCUUAUUGUAGUUCCAGGAUGAUUCCUGCUGAGUCUGUUUACCAGAAUUCCCCUGGUCCCUCAUGGUUCCUCCUUGUAAUUUUCUGUCCCUGACCCCUAACCUGUUCCUUGGCCAUAAAUCCCUACUGGGCCUUGUUAAAUUCAGAAUGGAGCCAGGCUCCAUGCCAUACUCUCUCUUGUCCUAGUGAAACAGUUCCUAGUUGGGCCUGUAAUCCCAACACUGUAGGAGACUGAGACAGGAAGAUCAGGAGUUUGAGAUCAGGCUGGGAAGCAUAGUAUAUUAUGGAGAAUGUGUCUCAAAGUAAAUAACAACAGCAAUAACUACUACUUCUACUUCUACUUCUCCUUCUCCUUCUCCUUCUCCUUCUACUUGUACUUCUACUCCUCCUCCUGCUGCUGCUGCAAUGUGAAAGCCCUGGUUUCAGUCUCCAGUACCGCACACGCGCGCGCACACACACACACACACACGCA
ensembl:lncRNA